rnacentral:lncRNA from 1 species
UAACAAUUUUGUACUGUCAAUUUCCAGUGGAAUUUCCGGUAAAUAUCUUAAAACAUGUCUUGAAGUAUAUCCUGAGAAACCCCAAACAUCGACUCGUAAACGCCUUUGGUAAAAGUUCAUUAAUUCGGCACAAUAUCCUCCAGGCGUGAAUCCCUUCUGUGUUAUAGAAUCUCCAAUGAUAGUUAAUCGGUUGAAAUAUUUCUUUUGAAAAGAAACGUAUUUCUCUGCCGGAGCCUCUGAAACGAUCUGCCCAAUCUCGGUCUUCUCGAAAGAAAUAUAAUUCUUAUCUUGAGAGUCUGACAUUUAGGAUUACUCGUAGAAAUCUAUAUGAACUUUGUUCAAUAAUUUUUUUCUAUCCAGCUAUUAGAACCUUUUCGGUAAGCCUAAUGGUAAUUGCUUCCACGAAAAUCAAAAUACGAAAGUUUUUAGCAGAGUAUGUAUGAUAUCCUGAGUAAAAAUGUGUUGCUAAAAAAGAGAAUGAUUACAAAUAAAAUCUCCUAUGAUAUUUCUACUUUUCACUUAUAGUGUGAAUUUGAGGAAUUAGCCAACUUAUCAACCGCUAGUGAACGCAGACUAUAAAAAGGUGAAGGAAAACCGUCCUUAGCUACACUAGUGUUUACUAAGUAUGAGGACCUAUUUAUAAAAAAUUUCGAUUUUAUGGUCUAAAAAAUCAGCUAUAAAGCCUUAUUUUUAUUAUAAACGGUGUCAGAACUUCCAUAUGCGUUUACUUAUAACAAAACAAUAAAUCUAUCUAAACAUACUUCAAAGCAACAUUUCAAAAGCUUCUUGUGCAUUGCAAUACUGAUUAUUCUUCUUUGAAUUGGAUACACAUUGCUAUUUAUAAACACCAAAUAAGCAUGAUCUUAAAUAACUUGUAGGAAUUGAAUGAACAGAAUAUAUUAGAAGUGUGCGCAUCAAGAUUAAGCUGGAACACUUGCGUAUAAUCAAUCUCCAAAUCCAAGCGUAUUAUUAUUAAUUACGAUAGUGAUAUUCAAAGCGCUUUUUUAAGAGUGCCAGUUUUUUUUUUAAUAUCAAAUUAACAAUCAGGUAUGAUACUUAAUAAAUCGAUACAGAAUUCAUUAAAAAUCUGCGAAACGGGAAGGAGCAUACAAACUGUAACGAAUUGCCAUUUAUAUUUAAAUUGAUAUUAAAAAAAAUACACAAGAUUGAAAAAGUUUAGCCUUGUAUCCACACAUCGCAGGUGUUAAAUUAAUAAACCGGAAGUAUGACCAUUAAAUGUCUCAAAACCUAAAAACUGAAAUAAAGCGGAUGAAAGAGAAGGAACACAAAUAAUAAUAUUAUAAAAAAACAAUAAAUUUAAGAACUGAGAAGAAUUAGUACCGAACAAAUUUUGCCAAUAUAGUAUAUUAGCAUGGCAGCAGAGAGACACAAAACCAUAUAUAAAAAUUGUGUUCGGUAUAUUAAAUUUACUUCAAGAAAGGGAAGUAAAACAUCGAUGAAAGGGAGAAGGGCUUCUAAGGCAAUGAUAUGCCAAAUAUACUAUUAAGUUUUUGUUAUCGUUUUUAAAGUAAGCGGGAAGGAAACACUAAUGGCUAUCAAAGAUUUCCAAAAAUAAGGUAAAAAGUAUACCAAUUGUAAAGCAAAUGAAAGAGUGCCUUUUAUUUUCUGAAUGAUCGUGUCUUAAAGCUUCAGGAAGAAUAACCCGAAGAGAAAGAAUUAGCAUCAUGCCCGCUGUUCCAGCAAAUAUAAUUCCAUAGAGAAAAUUAAGAAAAUCCGAAGAACCAAUACCUCCAGCCUCCAUUACAAGAAAGGCUAUUAAAGAACCAAGAGGUAAACUGCAACUGCUAAGCGUGGCGGCGGUAAGGAAAGCUUUAGGACGAGAUUUCCAUGCAAGAUAAAGGGGAUACGCAAUUGUGAAACCUUCAACAAUAUUAUGAAUACUCAUUGCAACAAGGACCAUAAACCCCGUAUCAACGGUAGAGGCUAAGAAGGUGAUGAAGCCCUCAGGCACCUUGUGAAGACAGAUAAGCAAAGCGGUCUGGAUGCCCAUAGUAUAAACGGAAUGAAUAUGCUCAAUAUCAUCAGGAGUUCCUGAGUGCGUUGGAAAACUGGAGAAGUGCGCAUGACAUUCACAAUCGCAAUUAGAGGGUUUUUUUACUAAAUAUUCAUGAACAGAAUCAGAAGAAUGUCUAGCGGAGCUAUCCUCCAACAAUAAUGAUCCUUCAUGAAGAUGAGUACCGCUUGGACAAUAACUUCCUUGCAAAGAUCCAACAACUCGGCUAGAUGGGGAACCACUCGAUUCACAAGACGAUAAACGCUUACAAGAUGCAGGAGGACUACGGUGGUUUUGUGCGGUGGAGGGCGAGGGAUCACUUACGGAGAAAUGAUCAUGCAAAAAACCAGUUUGGCUUGAUUCGUGAAGCCAUUUGUGAAGAAAGUGAUUAAAAAUGUAAAACACUAUACCGCCGAAAAAGAAAGCACAAAACUGAAAUACACGCACGAGAAAAGUAUCGAACAUAGAAAUUUUCUCUAAGAAGUGAAAGGAUUCUUGCAUCACGCUAGCCCAUGAGCUAUACAAUAAAAUACCGGAGCUAGUAGCGAGACCUGUUACAAGGGCAUUAUCGCUGUUUGCUAAAUCAAGCACUUCGUAACCAAACCAUUUGUUGACU